AUGGUCAUCUUGGAGUACAAGGCAAGGUUGAAGAGCGUGGAGCCAGUUAGAUAUGUUGAAAUUUGCGAAAAGAAGGAGAAGGGUCUUGAUGGUGGAAGGCCUUUCUCUAUUGAGGAAGGGUGCAAGGAAGAAGUUUACACUGAAGAACAUGAGAAGCUUUUAGGUACAUGUGCCACACCCUGGACUCUCUUUGUGGACGGUUAUGGCAAGGAUGGUAAGCGCAUCUAUGAUCAAGUGAGGGGCCAAACCUGUCAUCAGUGCCGCCAGAAAACUCUGGGUCAUCAUACAAGAUGCUGUAAUUGCCAGAUUGUCCAAGGGCAGUUCUGUGGAGAUUGUUUGUACAUGAGGUAUGGUGAGAAUGUGCUGGAAGCUAAGAGCAAUCCUAAUUGGACAUGUCCAGUUUGCCGUGGCAUUUGCAAUUGCAGCAUCUGCAGAACUAAGAGAGGAUGGUUCCCUACUGGCAAUGCGUACCGGAAGGUUGUCAGGCUUGGGUACAAAUCUGUGGCCCACUAUCUCAUUGCAACAAAUCGAGCAGGAGCAAACUCAGGGGAUUCAAGCUCAGCUGACUCCUCAAACGAGCUGCCAUCUGCUGGCGAGGUCUCUGAGCACAAGGCACCAGUUGCCAAGCAGGAUGCUGAUCUAAGCAGCAACGUGAUGAAUGAUGCUGGUGAAGUUGAGCAGAAGGAAGGGAACAUGAAGAAGAAGGCAGCAGCUGUGAAGGAUGAAGCCAAGGCCCCGAGGAAGAAGAUCACUGCUGAUGUGGUCUGCAAGGAUGAUGGCACGAGCGAGUCCGGGGUGACAUUUGAUUCUCUGGAACGUCACCAGGAUGUCGGCUGCGUCACUCCAUCUAAGCCGGAGCCAAAGAAGAAGAGGAAGUGGGUCGAAGCAAGAAGCCCUGACUGCGUCGCAAGCAGGCUGCGCUCCCGGUCUGCUCCCAAGUCAUGA
rnacentral:rRNA from 1 species